rnacentral:rRNA from 1 species
UACGUAGGGGGCAAGCGUUGUCCGGAUUUAUUGGGCGUAAAGAGCGUGUAGGCGGCUAGAUAGGUCCGUUGUGAAAACUCGAGGCUCAACCUCGAGACGUCGAUGGAAACCAUCUGGCUAGAGUGCGGAAGGGGCAACUGGAAUUCUCGGUGUAGCGGUGAAAUGCGUAGAUAUCGAGAGGAACACCUGCGGCGAAGGCGGGUUGCUGGGCCGACACUGACGCUGAUGCGCGAAAGCCAGGGGAGCGAACGGG